rnacentral:rRNA from 1 species
AUUGAACGCUGGCGGCAUGCUUUACACAUGCAAGUCGAACGGUAACAGGCCGCAAGGUGCUGACGAGUGGCGAACGGGUGAGUAAUGCAUCGGAACGUGCCCAGUCGUGGGGGGUAACUACUCGAAAGAGGAGCUAAUACCGCAUACGAUCUAUGGAUGACAGCGGGGGACCGUAAGGCCUCGCGCGAUUGGAGCGGCCGAUUUCAGAUUAGGUAGUUGGUGGGGUAAAGGCGCACCACGCGAACGAUCUGUAGCUGGUCGGAGAGGAGGACGAGCCACACUGGGACUGAGACACGGCCCAGAGUCCUACGGGAGGCAGCAGUGGGGAAUAUUGGACAAUGGGCGCAAGCCUGAUCCAGCAAUGCCGCGUGCAGGAAGAAGGCCUUCGGGUUGUAAACUGCUUUUGUACGGAACGAAACGGCUCUGGUUAAUACCCGGGGCUAAUGACGGUACCGGAAGAAUAAGCACCGGCUAACUACGUG